AUUGAACGCUGGCGGCAGGCCUAACACAUGCAAGUCGAGCGAGCGGCGGACGGGUGAUUAAUGUCUGGGGAACUGCCUGAUGGAGGGGGAUAACUACUGGAAACGGUAGCUAAUACCGCAUACCAUCGGAUGUGCCCAUAUGGGAUUAGCUAGUAGGUGGGGUAACGGCUCACCUAGGCGACGAUCCCUAGCUGGUCUGAGAGGAUGAUCAGCCACACUGGGACGGAGACACGGCCCAGACUCCUACGGUAGGCAGCAGUGGGGAAUAUUGCACAAUGGGCGCAAGCCUGAUGCAGCCAUGCCGCGUGUGUGAAGAAGGCCUUAGGUUUGUAAAGCACUUUCAGUCGGGAGGCGUUACCCGCAGAAGAAGCACCGGCUAACUCCGUGCCAGCAGCCGCGGUAAUAC
rnacentral:rRNA from 1 species